rnacentral:misc_RNA from 1 species
GAUGAAGAACGUAGCGAAAUGCGAUAAGUAGUGUGAAUUGCAGAAUUCAGUGAAUCAUCGAAUCUUUGAACGCACAUUGCGCCCUUUGGUAUUCCUUAGGGCAUGCCUGUUCGAGCGUCAUUUAAACCUUCAAGCUCAGCUUUGUGUUGGGUGACUGUCCGCCGCCUCCGGGCGCGUGGACUCGCCUCAAAAUUAUUGGCGGCCGGUACAUUGGCUUCGAGCGCAGCAGAAACGCGAACUCGGGCCCGUCGUAUUGGCUCCCAGAAGCUAUCUUCACAAUUUUGACCUCGGAUCAGGUAGGGAUACCCGCUGAACUUAAGCAUAUCAAUAAGCGGAGGA